rnacentral:rRNA from 1 species
AUGGUUGUUCCAUCACCGCUGGGGCAAGAAGCCAGACUACAGCCUAUAUAUGUGCCACAACUACAGAAGCUGAUUGGGACCCAAUCUAACAAAAAGGUAGUGGCUAGCCCAGGGCAAGUGAGUGAGGAUGGUGAUGCCAAGGAAGCAAGGGUAGAAGGAGAAGAUGAUGAAAAUUUGAAGCCAAGAAAGAUGGUGGCAACAUUCCAGCCGGGCUGCAGGGGACAGCAAAAGAAGGAUGCCAUAAGUGCCCCCUCCAAAAAAACAAGGAAAAUCUGGUGGCUAGAAGAAACCAAGCAUUAA